rfam:Paenibacillus sp. FSL H7-0357, complete genome.
GUGCAUAAAACGCCAAAUUCCCGGCACCGGGAAGUGGGGGAACCAUAUUUUGGGUGAAUUGAUCUCGCUUUAGAGGGGUCAUAGGGGAACCUUCUACCGAAUCCUUAAGCUAACCUCGCAGGCCUUGGAAGGAGUACAU